rnacentral:rRNA from 1 species
UUAAGGAACUCGGCAAAUUAGCCCCGUAACUUCGGAAGAAGGGGUGCCUGCAGCGAUGCAGGCCGCAGAGAAAUGGCCCAACCGACUGUUUAUCAAAAACACAGCACUCUGCAAAGACGCAAGUCGAAGUAUAGGGUGUGACACGUGACCAAUGCCGAAAGAUUAAGGCAAGGGGUUAGCCGCAAGGCGAAGCUCUAAACCCAAGUCCCGGUGAAUGUCGGCCGUAACUAUAACGGUCCUAAGGGAGCGAAAUUCCUUGUCGGGUAAGUUCCGACCUGCACGAAUCGUGAAACGAGUUGGGCACUGUCUCAACCAGGCGCUCAGUGAAAUUGUAGUGGCGGUGAAGAUGCCGCCUACCCGCAGAAGGACGGAAAGACCCUAUAGACCUUAACUGUAAGCUGUCAUUGUUUCUUCGGUUUUAAUGCUCAGAGUAAGUGGGAGACGCUGAAGACGCCCUUUAGGGGGCGUCCGAGUCAUCAAUGAGACACCACCCUUUGAAACUGGAGGAUCUAACCCUGAGCCGUGAAUCCGGCCAGAGGACCGUGUCAGCCGGUCAGUUUUACUGGGGCGGUAGCCUCCCAAAGAGUAACGGAGGAGCGCGAAGGUGGGCUCAGCCCGGUUGGCAACCGGGUGUCGAGUGCAUGGGCAUAAGCCCGCCUAACUGUGAGACCAACAAGUCGAGCAGAUGCGAAAGCAGGCCCAAGUGAUCCGGCGGUAGAAAGUGGAAUUGCCGUCGCUCAACGGAUAAAAGGUACCUUAGGGAUAACAGGCUGAUCACUCCCAAGAGUUCAUAUCGACGGAGUGGUUUGGCACCUCGAUGUCGGCUCGUCGCAUCCUGGGGCUGGAGAAGGUCCCAAGGGUUCGGCUGUUCGCCGAUUAAAGCGGCACGCGAGCUGGGUUCAGAACGUCGCGAGACAGUUCGGUCCUCUAUCCUCUGUGGGCGUUGGAAAAUUGAGGGGUUCAGACCUUAGUACGAGAGGACCGGGUCUGACGCACCACUGGUGCAUCGGUUGUACUGUCAAGUGCAUGGCCGAGUAGCUAAGUCCGGACGGGAUAAGCGCUGAAAGCAUCUAAGCGCC